rnacentral:rRNA from 1 species
CAGCAGCCGCGGGAAUACGAGGGGGGCAAGCGUUGUUCGGAAUUAUUGGGCGUAAAGGGUGCGUAGGCGGCUUGACAAGUCUUGUAUGAAAUCUAUGGGCUCAACCCAUAGUCUGCACGGGAAACUGUCGGGCUUGAGAAUGGGAGAGGUGAGUGGAAUUUCCGGUGUAGCGGUGAAAUGCGUAGAUAUCGGAAGGAACACCUGUGGCGAAAGCGGCUCACUGGACCAUUUCUGACGAUGAUGCACGAAAGCUAGGGGAGCAAACAGGAUUAGAUACCCCGGUAGUCCCUGUCUCUUAUAC